rnacentral:rRNA from 1 species
CCUACGGGAGGCAGCAGUGGGGAAUAUUGGACAAUGGGGGGAACCCUGAUCCAGCCAUGCCGCGUGUGUGAAGAAGGCCCUCGGGUUGUAAAGCACUUUCAGUGAGGAAGAACGCCUGGUGGUUAAUACCCAUCAGGAAAGACAUCACUCACAGAAGAAGCACCGGCUAACUCCGUGCCAGCAGCCGCGGUAAUACGGAGGGUGCGAGCGUUAAUCGGAAUUACUGGGCGUAAAGCGCGCGUAGGUGGCUUGAUAAGCCGGUUGUGAAAGCCCCUGGCUCAACCUGGGAACGGCAUCCGGAACUGUCAAGCUAGAGUGCAGGAGAGGAAGGUAGAAUUCCCGGUGUAGCGGUGAAAUGCGUAGAGAUCGGGAGGAAUACCAGUGGCGAAGGCGGCCUUCUGGACUGACACUGACACUGGGGUGCGAAAGCGUGGGUAGCAAACAGGAUUAGAUACCCCAGUAGUC